UGCUAUAUUUAUUUAAAGGGGGAAAAAAUUGAGCUUACUUUUUGCAGCUGUGAAAUGUAGACUCAAAAUAACUAUUUAAAGCUGACUUAGGGAUAGUCACAAAAGUAAAGGAAAAGUUAAGAAAAGUAGAAAGAUUGAGGGUAUUUUGUCAUAACCAAUGUGGUCUGCCAAAUAAAAUGUAAGGGGAAAAGAGGGGUUAUUUAUAUGAAGAUUAGACUGAAUUAUAUUUAAAAUAAGGUCACCAGGAAAUUAAUUUAUUCCAAAAGAGAUUUAUAUACAAAUAUAGAAAGAGUGAAGAAAUUCAGAGAGAGAAUAGGGUAAAAUAUCUAGCCUAAGCACUAAGUAAAUUACUCCAGACCCCUGGCUCAACUCAGGCAGAGAGAGUUAGACCUUGGGCCUUGGCAAAACCAAGGACCUCAGGAAGUCUUUCCUGAGGCUAGUCUCUUCAGAAAAUCCAAUAUGAAAGGAGUCAGCCUUUCACUCACCAAGUCUUGGGUCCAGUCAGCAGAUUCUCCACCAGCCUCUACUCCAAAGAAAGAAAGAACUCCCAGUAGAACUCCACUCAGAGACGACAAUACAAAAAGAGCCAUUUCACAGUGCUAAAGAAGCACAAAGCGACUUGCAUAGUGCCAAUCAAGCACAAGGUCAAAGAGACCAAACCAAUCCUAUGUGGACUGAUGACAUUCUGUGCAAAGAGCUCAAGGACUUGAUCAUGUGUGCGACCAGAGGUUGCGACUGCGACUGUUUAACAUGCGCUAAAUGCAGGAUUUCCUUGAACCACACACUCUAUAUCAAAUAUAUGACAUCAAUUAUUCUGUCUCUAUCUUGGCUCCCAUUUGCUACUAUCAUCUAGUCCCUUUUCUCUUUUAUAGUAUGGCAAAUUGCUGUAGUCUUGGAUGCAAAUGGGUAAAUGAAAUA
rnacentral:lncRNA from 1 species